rfam:Triticum aestivum genome assembly, contig: Triticum_aestivum_CS42_TGACv1_scaffold_322438_4BL
GUAGUAUUCCCUCCAUCCCAAAAUUCUUGUCUUACAUUUGUUUAGAUACGGAUGUAUCUAACACUAAAAUGUAACUAGAUACAUCCGUAUUUAGACAAAUUUAACACAAGAAUUUUGGGACGGAGGGAGUACAAA